rnacentral:lncRNA from 1 species
UCUUUAAAUAAAAACAAUGGUCUCUAAUCUUUUUGGCUGGAUUUUGAAACAAUUUUCAUCACAUUAACUUUUGAGUCCUUAUUUUACGCAUCUCUGGCUAACUCUGAGGAAGAAUCAGAAGAAUCUGUCCUCCACAAAUCACCUGAGGAAAUUAAAGCAGCUUUGGAAAAACAUAGAAUUAUACCUGACUUGCUGGAUACUGCACCGCCAAACGCUGUUCAGGUGGAAUGGAGUGAAGGUUUGUACGCAAAUUUUGGAAACGUGAUCGAUGAUUUAGGUGGUAUCAGAGAAGAACCAUUUUGGAUUGAGUGGCCGGGAGACAACAUGGAAGAUCGUUAUUGUUUAUUCAUGUUAGGCCUAGACGAGCCCUCCCAAAGUAAUCAUUCGCUUAGGGAGUGGAAGAACUGGAUUGUUGUGAAUAUUGAAGGAUACAACACUACCGUCGUCGCCGGUGAGCACUUGGCUGAAUACGUUCGUCCGUACCCCAUUAUUGGCACAGGUAAAAUAUCGUAUAUCUCCCUUCGCAAGAAAGUUAGUAAGCUGUUUUUCUCAUUUUCUAAGUCUUUAGAAUACACUUUAAUAGCUGAUAGAACGAUAUAUUCACAUGAUGUAAUUUAUGUGUAAAUCAGUUGGACAACAUUUUACAAUCAGGAACUACAAUUUCUUGCUCAUCCCAUUAAACACUUACGUGCGUUGGGAAAUUAAUGGCACACGUGUGUUUUUUAUAAAUUGAGCGAGAUAUUUAGUUCCUAAUUGUAAAAUGUAGUCCAUUGUGAUAUUUUUCAGUGGGGACAAUCAUCUAUUUCUCCGUAAUACUUGUAAUUUUUUAUUAAGAAAACAAUAUUAAAAUCGUGGGGUGUAUGCAAAAUCGACAAAAAUUCCCCCCUCAUGGAUUUUGACCAAUUUUCAGUAUGUCAUCCCUCACUAUAGGAUACGCCUUUCCCCAAAAUUUCAAGGCCUGAAAUGAAUUUCUUUCCGCGUAGCAGCGUUGCCAAGUUGAAAACCGUCGAGUUCCAUAUCUUUUGAACGAAAAAAGAUAUUGAGGUGCGGUUUGCGCUAAAAUUCUUCAAAAAUUGCGGUCUUUUGAAUCAUGU